CAGCCGCCGCGGUAAGAUGAACCGUGCGAACGUUAUUCGGAAUUACUGGGCUUAAAGCGCGUGUAGGCGGGCCGGCACGUCCGUCGCUGAAAUCCCACGGCUCAACCGUGGAAGUGGCGUGGAUACGACCGGCCUCGAGGGGGGUAGGGGGACCUGGAACUUCCGGUGGAGCGGUGAAAUGCGUUGAGAUCGGAAGGAACGCCCGUGGCGAAAGCGAGGUCCUGGACCCUUUCUGACGCUGAGACGCGAAAGCCAGGGGAGCGAACGGGAUUAGAUACCCGAGUAGUCCCUGUCUCUUAUA
rnacentral:rRNA from 1 species